rnacentral:rRNA from 1 species
AGAGUUUGAUCAUGGCUCAGAACGAACGCUGGCGGCGUGGAUAAGACAUGCAAGUCGAGCGCUGAUUUCAGGGUAGCAAUAUUCUGAGGUCGGAGCGGCGCAAGGGUGCGUAACACGUGGGGUAAUCUGCCAUGAAGUUCGGGAUAACUUGCUGAAAGGCGAGCUAAUACCGGAUGUGACAACUGGAAGACAUCUUUUGGUUGUUAAAGUUGGGGACCGUAAGGCCUGACGCUUCUUGAUGAACCCGCGGCCUAUCAGCUAGUUGGUGAGGUAACGGCUCACCAAGGCUAAGACGGGUAGCUGGUCUGAGAGGACGACCAGCCACACUGGAACUGAGACACGGUCCAGACACCUACGGGUGGCAGCAGUCGAGAAUUUUUCACAAUGGGCGCAAGCCUGAUGGAGCGACGCCGCGUGGGGGAUGAAUGGCUUCGGCCCGUAAACCCCUGUCAUUUGCGAUCAAACCUUAUUAUUUAAAAGAUGAUGAGCUGAUAGUAGCGAAAGAGGAAGGGACGGCUAACUCUGUGCCAGCAGCCGCGGUAAUACAGAGGUCCCAAGCGUUGUUCGGAUUCACUGGGCGUAAAGGGUGCGUAGGUGGUGAGGUAAGUCGGAUGUGAAAGCUCGGAGCUCAACUCCGAAAUGGCAUUGGAAACUACCUUGCUCGAGGGUUGGAGGGGGGACUGGAAUACUUGGUGUAGCAGUGAAAUGCGUAGAUAUCAAGUGGAACACCAGUGGCGAAGGCGAGUCCCUGGACAACUCCUGACACUGAGGCACGAAAGCUAGGGGAGCAAACAGGAUUAGAUACCCUAGUAGUCC